rnacentral:rRNA from 1 species
AUUGAACGCUGGCGGCAGGCCUAACACAUGCAAGUCGAGCGGAGCGGCGGACGGAUGAGUAAUGCCUAGGAAUCUGCCUGGUAGUGAGGGAUAACGUCCGGAAACGGGCGCUAAUACCGCAUACUCACAGAUGAGCCUAGGUAGGAUAAGCUAGAUGGUGGGGUAAAGGCCUACCAAGGCGACGAUCAGUAACUGGUCUGAGAGGAUGAUCAGUCACACUGGAACUGAGACACGGUCCAGACUCCUACGGGAGGGAGCAGUGGGGAAUAUGGGACAAUGGGAGAAAGCCUGAACCAGCCAUGCCGCGUGUGUGAAGAAGGUCUUCGGAUUGUAAAGCACUUGAAGUUGGGAGGCGUUACCAACAGAAUAAGCACCGGCGAACUUCGUGCCAGCAGCCGCGGUAAUUC